UUCCACGAGCGUCCUCCGGUUUGCUUGUUGUCCAGUAAAGCUGAAAGACUCACGCAGCCCAGCCAGGAGAAGCCAAAUUGUCGUGGAAUUAGACAACACUUGCAGACUCAUCCUCUGAAGAAAGAUGCUCGCCAGCAGGGGGCGGCGUAGGACAAUAAGCAGAACCUCCAAGCUGUUCAACAUGGCCACAGGAUGGCACACAGCCCAACGCGGGAAACUGGAUCGCCACGUGAAACGCGCCAAUCACGGCAGUUGAAGCACGCGGGUUUUCGAUGUGUAACGAAUAUCGCAGAUAUCGAAAAUAAACUGACACGAAUAUAACAAUAUUACUAAUUUCAUUAAACAUAUUGCCAUAAAAUGUGGUAGAAAACAACAGUCAAGUGACAACUUUUUAAUCGCAGCAUCUAAAGUUGGAACCUUCAUUAAAUGUUUGCAUAAUAGAAUAAAGACUCGUUAUGGUUUAAAUGA